rnacentral:rRNA from 1 species
GAUGAACGCUGGCGGCGUGCCUAAUACAUGCAAGUCGAGCGAACAGACGAGGAGCUUGCUCCUCUGACGUUAGCGGCGGACGGGUGAGUAACACGUGGAUAACCUACCUAUCAGACUGGGAUAACUUCGGGAAACCGGAGCUAAUACCGGAUAAUAUAUUGAACCGCAUGGUUCAAUAGUGAAAGACGGUUUUGCUGUCACUUAUAGAUGGAUCCGCGCCGCAUUAGCUAGUUGGUAAGGUAACGGCUUACCAAGGCAACGAUGCGUAGCCGACCUGAGAGGGGGAUCGGCCACACUGGAACUGAGACACGGUCCAGACGCCUACGGGAGGCAGCAGUAGGGAAUCUUCCGCAAUGGGCGAAAGCCGGACGGAGCAACGCCGCGUGAGGGAUGAAGGUCUUCGGAUCGUAAAACUCUGUUAUUAGGGAAGAACAAAUGUGUAAGUAACUAUGCACGUCUUGACGGUACCUAAUCAGAAAGCCACGGCUAACUACGUG